rnacentral:lncRNA from 1 species
CUGGAGCUGGCACAAGUCCUGUAGCAAUUACUACAAUCACACUGUCACUUUUGCUACAUUGACCUCUCCUGAUUGAAAAGAGAAAGCAGCAAGAAUAAGGAAGGAAAGGAAGAAGGAGAAGUAACUUGCUCAAAUGUGCCUCGUGCGGGGGCUGGGGCUUGGGGAGUUGGUGUGGAGGAUCUAAUAUCUACUCCAGUGGCAGCCGGAGGAGCAGCAAAGGGAGGCAGAGACCCACAGCCAGACAUGCCCAUCUCAGCAGGCCGGUGGCUUGUUCUCCUCAGCCUUUUCACCACUGACAAACAGUUAUCACUACAGAUUGCUCUACCAUGUGAAAGUGAACAGUAUUAUGAAUAUGCUGGAAGAUGCUGCAGAAGGUGUGAGCCAG